CACAGUUGCCUGGUUAUGUAAUAAAAAGAAAUCCCUCAGUUAUCAUGUGACUGGUUGGUAUCUCCACUGACACCACUGAAGUUCUACUGAUUUCAGCAGAGCUACUCUAGAUUUACCUCAGUGUAAAUGGGAGGAGAAAUGGGCCCAAAUGCUUCAGAAAACACCAGGGUGUCCCUGGAGCUGCACUAGCUGCAGCUCCCUGCACCUCUCACAGGGAACAGAAUUCUGAAGCUUGCAACACAGACUGGAAAGGCAGCUCAAGUCCUUUUAGACAAUGAACAACAGUGGAGGGGACUGUAUCCACGAAAU
rnacentral:lncRNA from 1 species